AAGAUACAGUGGGUUGGAAUGAGGCUACCUGAAGAAAAGAAGCACCCAAAGAAGUUAAGGCUCGGCAAGAUCAGGCAAAAUUGGCCCUUCAAAAGUCUUUACUCUAUUCCCAUUACACGUCAACGAGCAAAGAGCUGCAGCUGUAAUGGGCCAAUUUAGCCCGAGCCCAAACAGAAACCUAAAGACAAAAAAAAACCAAAACAAAAAAAAUUAUAACAAAGUCCAAAUUAAAAAAAAAGUCCAGUUACAAAGCCCAAAUUUACAGGCCCAAAACAAAGAAAAAUAAUGUUGUCGCCACUCCUAGCCUCUGCCACCAUCAACCACUCUUCUGCCACCGCCGCCUACAAGAAGAAAACGCAAC
rnacentral:lncRNA from 1 species